UCAUGCUUUUUCGUCCCAAAUUU
rnacentral:siRNA from 1 species